AUUCAAACACAUAUAUGAUUCUCAUGGAAAAGAAGCCCUUGUUCUACACAGCGGAAGUGAUGACGUCGGAGAUGAACCGGUCGAGACCAAACUUGUAGAAGUUGGAGACGAUGGCAAGGAAUGUGAGGAUAGCUGUAGACCGUACGGAGAGGGGGAAAAGGUGAUCAUUUCUGCCUCAGUUAAUAUUGAUCGGAUCCGAGGGAGUAGUAUAUAUUGUUUAGAAAGAAGAAAGAAAUAAACAUGUGAUGA